UACGUAGGGAGCAAGCGUUGUCCGGAAUCAUUGGGCGUAAAGCGCGCGUAGGCGGCCCUGUAAGUCCGUUGUGAAAGUCAAAGGCUCAACCUUUGAAAGCCGAUGGAUACUGCAGGGCUAGAGUCCGGAAGAGGCGAGUGGAAUUCCUGGUGUAGCGGUGGAAUGCGCAGAUAUCAGGAGGAACAUCAGUUGCGAAGGCGGCUCUCUGGACCAGCACUGACACUGAGGCACGAAAGCGUGGGGAGCAAACAGG
rnacentral:rRNA from 1 species